rnacentral:rRNA from 2 species
UUUAAUGAGAGUUUGAUCCUGGCUCAGGACGAACGCUGGCGGCGUGCCUAAUACAUGCAAGUAGAACGCUGAGGUUUGGUGUUUACACUAGACUGAUGAGUUGCGAACGGGUGAGUAACGCGUAGGUAACCUGCCUCAUAGCGGGGGAUAACUAUUGGAAACGAUAGCUAAUACCGCAUAAGAGUAAUUAACACAUGUUAGUUAUUUAAAAGGAGCAAUUGCUU